rnacentral:rRNA from 1 species
UGGGGAAUAUUGCGCAAUGGGCGAAUGCCUGACGCAGCGACGCCGGGUGGAGGAUGAAGGCCUUCGGGUCGUAAACUCCUGUCAAGAGGGAAGAAGCGUAUGCGGAAUAAUACGCCCGCAUGCCUGACGUUACCUCUAGACGAAGCACCGGCUAACUCCGUG